GACUAGUACCGUGAGGGAAAGGUGAAAAGAACCCCGGGAGGGGAGUGAAAUAGAUCCUGAAACCGUGUGCUUACAAUCCGUCGGAGCCUCUGUGUGGGGUGACGGCGUGCCUUUUGAAGAAUGAGCCUGCGAGUUAGUGCUCAGUGGCGAGGUUAACCCGUGUGGGGUAGCCGUAGCGAAAGCGAGUCCGAAUAGGGCGUUUGAGUCGCUGGGUCUAGACCCGAAGCGGAGUGAUCUACCCAUGGCCAGGUUGAAGCGCCGGUAAGACGGCGUGGAGGACCGAACCCACUUAGGUUGAAAACUGAGGGGAUGAGCUGUGGGUAGGGGUGAAAGGCCAAUCAAACUCCGUGAUAGCUGGUUCUCCCCGAAAUGCAUUUAGGUGCAGCGUCGCGUGUUUCUUGCCGGAGGUAGAGCUACUGGAUGGCUGAUGGGCCCCACCGGGUUACUGACGUCAACCAAAC
rnacentral:rRNA from 1 species